GCUCUCUGCAACCUCUGCCUCCCGGGUUCAAGCUGAAAAGGCCAAUGGAAUCCUGGAGUUGGAAUAGUAAUUUCAUUUUAAACCACAGUCAUUAGUUACCCACGUAUUGUUUGAAGAUGUCUGUCAUAUGAUUAUUUAAGGACAUUUAAAAACAUAUCCGAAUAACUUAAAUGGAGUUAUAUGUGUCAGUAUCAAUAACUUUUAAUUCCCUUCUUUUCUAGACUAGCAUAUACCCAUUAUACAUUAAAAAUGUGAAAUAUUUAGGUUUCCUUAUUAGAGUGGAGAGGUGAAUACUAAUUUUCAGAUGUGUUUUGUGAUAAGGUGGCACUCCUUCUUAAGCACUGCCAUCAAUCUUAAGCCGGGAAAUUCACCUCUAGAAAGCGUCAAAUCACUGGCUCCAAAUCAAAUUCUAGCAAGUAUUCCCCAUGUAAUCAGCUGUCAUCCUCAGUGACAAGGAGGAGACAGUGCUCUGCUUUCACUUUAUUCCUACUUGAGAGCCCCAGCUUGAGAGUCUGGAUAAGGCUCAAGGACGGAAUAGGGAGUCUGUCUUCUAUAAAUAAAGAGAAUAAAAUUGCUGCUUUUUCCCUCUCCUUCCUCACUGCUACCUUGUCUGUCCCCCAGCGCAUUCUUAUUUCUCCCCAAUGUCAAUGAAGUUUGGUAGAAAGUUGUCUCUCAUCUUAGUGUGCUAUCUUACUUCGCUCAGCCUUAUUUUCAUCCCCUCUUCAUUCAUUGACUUAUCCAGGAGCUUCAUCUCUUUAGAGAAAGGAGUGGGUACACGGGCAGUUCUCUUGGGAAUUCUGAUUCAUUCACCAUCUUGAACCACCUUUCUAUUGGGUUGUUGGAUGUGACCAUAGAUGCUGGUCACAUGCUUCUUAGCUCCCCAUGUAAUGAAACUUAACACAGGGCCAAGCAGAUUUCCCAGACAAGGCUUUUAUUUUGGGGCUUGUGCUCAAGGGCAAG
rnacentral:lncRNA from 1 species